rnacentral:lncRNA from 1 species
UUGGAGAUCAUGGAGAGUCAAAGGGUCUAGUGUGAUAUAUUUAGAGAUUAUUUGGGAGCUCUAAUAUGAGAUAAUAUAAGUGCAUUUUGAUUUGUAUGUUGUGAUCCAGCUUUUAUUAAUUGGAGAGAAUGAUGUUAAAUAUGAGUACUCUUAUGAAUUAUCAAUUUAUGGAUCGAAACAAAAUAUUAAAAUUGAACAUAUUGAUUAUUACUUAACUAAUCCUCACCUCUUAUAAUAUGCUAUUGGAAUUUUUAAAAUUCACCAUCAAAUUUUCCAUUAAAAAGACACAUGUAUUCGCAAGUGAUCUCCAUUGGUCGAGAGCGCGUGGGCUAUGACCGUUUCUCGGUCACCGCUGUUGCGUACUGCAAUCCAAACGUCACCCCUUCUCCAACCUCACGAUCAUUGAAUAUCACCAGCCAGAACAUUUUUGAAUUACUACAUUACCCUUCACUUUUAGGAGAAUAUAUAAUUUUUUUUGAUCAUUUUUAUAAGUUAAAUUAUUCGGUUAAUUAUUCCCCUUCCAUUCUCAAGUCAUAAUGAUGAACAAUACCUCAAAAUAGAAAAUAUAGUUGGACGGCAUGUGAUAACAAAAAUGAACAUACAAUUAUAUAAAAUGCCACGAUUAUAAAUAGAUGACUUUAUAAGAUAGAAGAUUAACCCACUGUUUAUUGAACAACAAGCUGCCUAAUGGGAUAGAGUCACAGGUGGUUGUCCUGCCACCUUAUGUUGUGUGAUCAUCCAUGAUUUUCAAGCCGAGGUGAAUGGUAGAUCUGGAUAACAUCGGAUGGGUCUCGGGUUGUCUUGGAUGGAUAUAGAGGAGUGACCAAAAUAUGUUUGGAGUAUGUAUAGGAAAAGAUAAACAAAGGAUGAUAGCUAGGUUUAUGAGAAUGACUGAUUUCGGUGAUGGCUGCUGAUAGACGUGCAGAGUGUGGCGGAGAAAUACCGGCUGUUGAAGGGGGCAUGGAUGGAUGAGCACUUUGAACGUGGGAGCUCUCUUCUGUAUUGUAUGUGUUUUUCUUCACUGAAGGAGUUACCUUAGCUAGCUUUUAUAGGGGCUUGAGGC